rnacentral:rRNA from 1 species
AUUAAACGCUGGCGGCAUGCCUUACACAUGCAAGUCGAACGGCAGCACGGGGGGAACCCUGGUGGCGAGUGGCGAACGGGUGAGUAAAGCAUCGGAACGUGCCCUGGAGUGGGGGAUAACGUAGCGAAAGUUACGCUAAUACCGCAUAUUCUGUGAGCAGGAAAGCAGGGGAUCGCAAGACCUUGCGCUCUGGGAGCGGCCGAUGUCGGAUUAGCUAGUUGGUGGGGUAAAGGCCUACCAAGGCGACGAUCCGUAGCGGGUCUGAGAGGAUGAUCCGCCACACUGGGACUGAGACACGGCCCAGACUCCUACGGGAGGCAGCAGUGGGGAAUUUUGGACAAUGGGCGAAAGCCUGAUCCAGCCAUGCCGCGUGAGUGAAGAAGGCCUU